UACGUAGGGUGCAGGCGUUAAUCGGAAUUACUGGGCGUAAAGCGUGCGCAGGCGGUCUUUUAAGUCAGAUGUGAAAUCCCCGGGCUUUAACCUGGGAACUGCGUUUGAAACUGGAAGGCUUGAGUGUGGCAGAGGGGGGUGGAAUUCCACGUGUAGCAGUGAAAUGCGUAGAGAUGAUGGAGGAACACCGAUGGCGAAGGCAGCCCCCUGGGCUAACACGUGACGCUCAUGCACGAAAGCGUGGGGAGCAAACAGG
rnacentral:rRNA from 1 species